rnacentral:rRNA from 1 species
UGCAGUCGAGCGGAUGAGAGGAGCUUGCUCCUGGAUUCAGCGGCGGACGGGUGAGUAAUGCCUAGGAAUCUGCCUGGUAGUGGGGGACAACGUUUCGAAAGGAACGCUAAUACCGCAUACGUCCUACGGGAGAAAGCGGGGGACCUUCGGGCCUUGCGCUAUCAGAUGAGCCUAGGUCGGAUUAGCUAGUUGGUGAGGUAAUGGCUCACCAAGGCGACGAUCCGUAACUGGUCUGAGAGGAUGAUCAGUCACACUGGAACUGAGACACGGUCCAGACUCCUACGGGAGGCAGCAGUGGGGAAUAUUGGACAAUGGGCGAAAGCCUGAUCCAGCCAUGCCGCGUGUGUGAAGAAGGUCUUCGGAUUGUAAAGCACUUUAAGUUGGGAGGAAGGGCAGUAAAUUAAUACUUUGCUGUUUUGACGUUACCGACAGAAUAAGCACCGGCUAACUCUGUGCCAGCAGCCGCGGUAAUACAAAGGGUGCAAGCGUUAAUCGGAAUUACUGGGCGUAAAGCGCGCGUAGGUGGUUUGUUAAGUUGGAUGUGAAAUCCCCGGGCUCAACCUGGGAACUGCAUCCAAAACUGGCGAGCUAGAGUAUGGUAGAGGGUGGUGGAAUUUCCUGUGUAGCGGUGAAAUGCGUAGAUAUAGGAAGGAACACCAGUGGCGAAGGCGACCACCUGGACUGAUACUGACACUGAGGUGCGAAAGCGUGGGGAGCAAACAGGAUUA